rnacentral:rRNA from 1 species
GAUGAACGCUGGCGGCGUGCCUAAUACAUGCAAGUCGAGCGAACGGACGAGAAGCUUGCUUCUCUGAUGUUAGCGGCGGACGGGGGAGUAACACGUGGAUAACCUACCUAUAAGACUGGGAUAACUUCGGGAAACCGGAGCUAAUACCGGAUAAUAUUUUGAACCGCAUGGUUCAAAAGUGAAAGACGGUCUUGCUGUCACUUAUAGAUGGAUCCGCGCUGCAUUAGCUAGUUGGUAAGGUAACGGCUUACCAAGGCAACGAUGCAUAGCCGACCUGAGAGGGUGAUCGGCCACACUGGAACUGAGACACGGUCCAGACUCCUACGGGAGGCAGCAGUAGGGAAUCUUCCGCAAUGGGCGAAAGCCUGACGGAGCAACGCCGCGUGAGUGAUGAAGGUCUUCGGAUCGUAAAACUCUGUUAUUAGGGAAGAACAUAUGUGUAAGUUACUGUGCACAUCUUGACGGUACCUAAUCAGAAAGCCACGGCUAACUACGUG